GGAUGGAUCAUUAAAAACUAUAUAACCCCCCCCCCUUUCUUUUUUUUAAUUUUCUUUCUUGAAAGAGGAAGAGAAAAAAAAAGAGGGGUAUAACCUGUGAAAUAUUAUAAAGUCUUAACUUUUUUUUAAAAAAAUCACUUUUUUUAAUUAGUAUGUCUUAUAUAAAAUGAAUUUUAAUUUUUUUUCCCUUCUUCUUUCUUUCUUUCUUUUUCUUUCAAAAGAGAAAAAAGAAGAGAUUGAUUUUUGAUUGAAAAUUUUUUAAAAUACAAAAAAUAAUAAUCUUAAUUACAAUUUAUAGCGGUGGAUGUCUCGGCUAUCUCCUCGAUGAAGAGCGCAGCAAGAAGCGAUAUGUAUUGUGAAUUGCAGAAUUACGCGAAUCAUCGAAAUCUUGAACGCAACCUGCGCCUAGAGGUAACCCUUCUAGGCGUGCCUGUUUGAGUGUCGAUUAAAUAUCAAUCUUCAAAUUCUUUUUUGAAGGAAUUGACAGUGCAGAUAGAGAAAAGUAUCUGCUCUGUUUAAAAAUAUGUCAAGAUGAAAGUUUUUUUUAAAAAACCAAAAAAAAAUCUUUGUCGAAAACUUGGCGGUUAUUGCAACCAACAAUCCAUUAGACUUUGUUUUUUUUUUUUGGCUGAAUUCAUAUUCAUUCUUGAAUAAGCGGAGUAAAAAUUCACUAGUGCCUUAUUGGAGUUUGACACUAGCAUAAAAUAAAUAUUCUCCAAUUUCUACUUCGACCUCAAAUCAGGUACGACUACGCGCUGAAUUUAAGCAUAUAAAUAAGCGCAGGAAAAGAAACUAACCAGGAUUCCCUUAGUAAAGGCGAUUGAAAAGGGAAAAGCUCAGACUGAAUCUAACACCUUUGGUGUUCGAGUUGUAGUCUUCAGACCAUCUUCCGAAUUGAUUGGGUUACCAAGUCAACUGGAACGUUACGCCAUAGAGGGUGAUAGCCCCGUAGGUUUCCUUAAAAUCAGUUCAUUCGCGUUGAUGAGUCUUAGAGUCGGGCUAUUUGGGAGUAUAGCCCUAAGUGGGAGGUAAAUUCCUUCUAAAGCUAAAUAUUUGGAGAUAGACCGAUAGCGAACAAGUACCGUGAGGGAAAGAUGCAAAGAACUCUGAAAAGAGAGUUAAAAGUACCUGAAACCGCUAUAAAGGAAACGAUUCGUACCACAACGAAAAAACUAUUGUGGUUCUGUGAAUUUUAGUGUAAUCAAGGAUUUGGAUGAGUUGGUCUUAUAGAUUGACCAUUUCAAGUUCAAAAUUGCAUUUGAAUUUACAUACUCCAUUUUAGUUAUCAUCAAUAUGUAUGGAGAUCGAAGUAGAAAGGAUUUAAGAAGGUAACCCGAGGAAACUUGGGCGAAUACUUGGAUUAUAAAUACUUUGAUUCAUCUAUAGAGGAUACAAUGAGACGCUUGCGGAGUUAAUAGUUUCACGUGGUGUAUAAUUGUGGUUUACUACAUGUAGUUCUCUGCUUUUGUAUGCUUCACCGAUUCUAUACUUCUAGUUCUCAUAAUGAUAUUGAUCAGUGGUACCAAUCGACCCGUCUUGAAACACGGACCAAGGAGUCUAACGUAUGUGCAAGUCAAUGGGUGACAAACCUAAUGGCGUAAUGAAAGUAAUUUUUUUUUUUUGGUGGGAUACUAAGGUUUUGUACUAAAGUUGCACCACCGACCGAUCUUCUCCUCAUUGAGGAUAGAUUUGAGUAUGAGCACAUCCGUUAGGACCCGAAAGAUGGUGAACUAUGCCUGCAUAGGGUGAAGCCAGAAGAAAUUCUGGUGGAGGCUCGUAGCGAUACUGACGUGCAAAUCGUUCGUCAAAUGUGGGUAUAGCGGCGAAAGACUAAUCGAACCGUCUAGUAGCUGGUUCCUGC
rnacentral:misc_RNA from 1 species